UGAUACAUUUGUGGCUUGCUUUAAUGAUAAUCUUAUACCUCAAAAGGUAGAGGAAGUAAACAGGGGAACUGCAAUUCUGGACCCGAUUCUGAUUUACAAGGAGGAACUGGUUGCUGAAGUAGAAAUUACAGGAACCUUGGCGGCAAGGGCAAGUGACCAAUCCCCCUCAGACUUCAUGAUAGAAGAGAGGAAGACUGGACAUGGUCUUGACAUGCACCCUAGAUUUUGGGAAGAACAGGUUUCAAAAAAUACAAGGAAAGUUUAGGUAAAAUCCAAAGGCCUAUUAUUUUUUAGAGGAAAGCCCUUACAAAAUAGGAUACUCUCAAGAAUGAAGUUCUGAAGAUACAAGCAGAAAUGGAUUCAAUUGAAAGGAAAAGUCAGUGCUGCCUAAAGAGACUGAUGAAUAUACACAGGGAUCUCAAUGACCAAUUGAGAUUUUUAAAGACAUUUAUAGAAGAUGGAAGCAAGAGGAGGAGAAUGAUCUUUGGACUGGGGAGGAAAGAACAAAAAUGGUUUUCAAGGAGUAGAAACCCAAGAUCAAUGAGGAGAUGAUGAGAAAACUGAGGCUCAGAGAGAUGGCGUGGC